rnacentral:rRNA from 1 species
GGACGAACGCUGGCGGCACGCUUAACACAUGCAAGUCGAACGGAGAAUAUUGAGUUACUUAGAUAUUCUUAGUGGCGGACGGGUGAGUAACACGUGAGCAACCUACCUUAGAGAGAGGGAUAGCUUCUGGAAACGGAUGGUAAUACCUCAUAACGUAACUGUACCGCAUGAUAUAGUUACCAAAGAUUUAUCACUCUGAGAUGGGCUCGCGUCUGAUUAGAUAGUUGGUGAGGUAACGGCUCACCAAGUCGACGAUCAGUAGCCGGACUGAGAGGUUGAACGGCCACAUUGGGACUGAGACACGGCCCAGACUCCUACGGGAGGCAGCAGUGGGGAAUAUUGCACAAUGGGGGAAACCCUGAAUGCAGCGAUGCCGCGUGGAGGAAGAAGGUUUUCGGAUUGUAAACUCCUGUCUUAAAGGACGAUAAUGACGGUACUUUAGGAGGAAGCUCCGGCUAACUACGUGCCAGCCGCUGC